UCACUAGAAUGAAAAUAAAUGUAUACAAAAGUGAAUAAACCCAUAAUAGCAAGAUAAUAGGAGUAAGGGCCAACAGUGAACUAAGGCUAUUAAUACAAUUCUGGCAGACAAAAAGCAGAUGUGUGUGGUGACAAGGGAGACAAAGCAGAAAUAACUACAAGCCAGAAUAACAGAGACUCUGUUUAAAAAGCCAUAUCUGGGGCAAUUUUCUGGGGGCUCCAGGAAGAGGCGCCGCAUAGCGUCAGCAAGGACUCAAAAGGAGCACUUCCCAGUGAAGCAAAAGAGUGGCGUAAUAAUUGGAGAACCCUCACGACGUGUCAGCCCCACCACGGCCCCAUAAAUGUAGCAUGAGUGCGAGCUUGAAAUUUGUAACAUGAGAUGAAAACUGGAGAAGCAUCCCUAAAAUAUAUGAACCAAUCUGCCUAGAAAUAGCUAGGAAUCUGCCACCAGAAAGAUGAAUAAAAUAAAAGAUUGAAGAAGUAGCAAGUAGCAGUAUGGAAGACUUGUGGCUAAGAAGACACUUCGCACUGUUAUGCACCAGGAGGAUUGACUGUCUCUGUGGCUUGGAGGCAGUUAUACGUAGCAGCAGCAGCAGCAGCAGCAGCAAAAGUUAACAGGAGCCGGAGUCUGUCUUCAAAGAGCAGUCAGUAGAGAUGAAGAGUAGAUUACUGAUUCCAUAGUACAUGUCAGAUACUGCCUAGGGACUUCCUAAGUAGAGGUCAAGGUCCCACUGUUAUACAGUGUAUAAAUUCACAGAAGUCAGAAGCUGAAUGCAGUCACAAAGAGAGCAAAGCACUUUGUAAAGUGAACUCAAUACCCCCGUUGGGGCUCAGAAAACAGUACCCCAAAGUGAAGUCCUCAGAAGCAGCCCCAAAAGUAAAGUCUCUGACCUUCUCCUACCCUCCCAUCCUCUCUCCCUUCCUUCUCCACUGAGGCAAGAUAGAAACUAAAAUUCCUCUUCCCCAAGGAACCCCGCCUUUUUGUGUAACAGUUGGCCAUAAAGAAAUUAAGACCUUCAUUCCAGAGAGUCCUAUUGCAUGCCUGAGAGGGAGGAAGGCUGCACAGAGACGCCAAGAAGCUGGACAGUCCUUGCUGGGUUUCCCCACUCAGUCUUUAAGCAUUCGAUCAUACCCCUUCUGUCCAGUUGUAUUUUACAUGGCUGUCCAUACAUCAUUGAAUGUCAGUGUAAAAAUGGAUUGUUUUCCCUGUAUCUUUGGGUCUUUAUUCUGAAGUCUCUUUUAAAACUAUGAUCAA
rnacentral:lncRNA from 1 species